rnacentral:tRNA from 1 species
CCUUCGAUAGCUCAGUUGGUAGAGCGGUGGACUGUAGAAAAGCAAAUGUGUAGAAAUCCAUAGGUCGCUGGUUCAAAUCCGGCUCGAAGGA